CAGUCGCCGCGGGAAUACGAAGGGUGCAAGCGUUAAUCGGAAUUACUGGGCGUAAAGCGUGCGUAGGCGGAUCGAUCAGUCAGGGGUGAAGUCCCAGAGCUCAACUCUGGAACUGCCUUUGAUACUGUCGAUCUGGAGUAUGGAAGAGGUGAGUGGAAUUCCGAGUGUAGAAGUGAAAUUCGUAGAUAUUCGGAGGAACACCGGUGGCGAAGGCGGCUCACUGGUCCAUUACUGACGCUGAGGUGCGAAAGCGUGGGGAGCAAACAGGAUUAGAUACCCCCGUAGUCCCUGUCUCUUAUAC
rnacentral:rRNA from 1 species